GACGAACGCUGGCGGCGCGCUUAACACAUGCAAGUCGAACGGAAAGGCCCUGCUGUUGUGGGGUGCUCGAGUGGCGAACGGGUGAGUAACACGUGAGUAACCUGCCCUUGACUUUGGGAUAACUUCAGGAAACUGGGGCUAAUACCGGAUAGGAGCUCCUGCUGCAUGGUGGGGGUUGGAAAGUUUCGGCGGUUGGGGAUGGACUCGCGGCUUAUCAGCGUGUUGGUGGGGUAGUGGCUUACCAAGGCUUUGACGGGUAGCCGGCCUGAGAGGGUGACCGGCCACAUUGGGACUGAGAUACGGCCCAGACUCCUACGGGAGGCAGCAGUGGGGAAUAUUGCACAAUGGGCGGAAGCCUGAUGCAGCAACGCCGCGUGCGGGAUGACGGCCUUCGGGUUGUAAACCGCUUUCGCCUGUGACGAAGCGUGAGUGACGGUAAUGGGUAAAGAAGCACCGGCUAACUACGUG
rnacentral:rRNA from 1 species